GGAUUUAUCCGUCGGUCGGGCUUUUGGGUCUGUACUGGCGUGAUGGAUUCCUACCUUCUGAAUAACCGGCAUGUCAUUUAUUUGGUGCGCUGGGGAAGCAGGACUGUUACCUUGAAAAAAUUAGAGUGCUUAAAGCAGGCUAUUGCCUGAAUACAUUAGCAUGGAAUAAUGAAAUAGGACGGCAUGGUUCUAUUUUGUUGGUUUCUAGGAUCACCGUA
rnacentral:rRNA from 1 species